rnacentral:tRNA from 1 species
GGGGUUGUGGUUCAGUGGUAGAAUGCACGCCUUGCAUGUGUGAGGCACUGGGUUCAGUCCUCAGCACCA